AUGAACGCUGGCGGCGUGCCUAAUACAUGCAAGUCGAGCGAACGGACGAGAAGCUUGCUUCUCUGAUGUUAGCGGCGGACGGGUGAGUAACACGUGGAUAACCUACCUAUAAGACUGGGAUAAUUUCGGGAAACCGGAGCUAAUACCGGAUAAUAUUUUGAACCGCAUGGUUCAAAAGUGAAAGACGGUCUUGCUGUCACUUAUAGAUGGAUCCGCGCUGCAUUAGCUAGUUGGUAAGGUAACGGCUUACCAAGGCAACGAUGCAUAGCCGACCUGAGAGGGUGAUCGGCCACACUGGAACUGAGACACGGUCCAGACUCCUACGGGAGGCAGCAGUAGGGAAUCUUCCGCAAUGGGCGAAAGCCUGACGGAGCAACGCCGCGUGAGUGAUGAAGGUCUUCGGAUCGUAAAACUCUGUUAUUAGGGAAGAACAUAUGUGUAAGUAACUGUGCACAUCUUGACGGUACCUAAUCAGAAAGCCACAGCUAACUACGUG
rnacentral:rRNA from 1 species